GGACGAACGCUGGCGGCGUGCUUCAUACAUGCAAGUCGAACGAUAAGGUCUCUUCGGAGAUACAUAAGUGGCGGACGGGUGAGUAAAAUGUAGAGAAUCUGCCCUAGAGAUGGGGACAACAGUUGGAAACGACUGCUAAUACCCAAUAUGAGCGUAGUUGAAAUACUAUUCUUGAAAACUCCGGUGCUCUGGGAUGAGUCUGCAUCUGAUUAGCUAGUUGGAGGUGUAAUGGACCACCAAGGCGACGAUCAGUAGCUGGUUUGAGAGGAUGAUCAGCCACAAUGGGACUGAGACACGGCCCAUACUCCUACGGGAGGCAGCAGUAGGGAAUUUUGCGCAAUGGGGGAAACCCUGACGCAAGCAACGCCGCGUGAAUGAAGAAGCCCUUCGGGGUGUAAAGUUCUGUCAGUAGGGAAGAAUAAAUGACUGUACCUACAGAGGAAGCAUCGGCUAACUCCGUGCCAGCCGCGGC
rnacentral:rRNA from 1 species